AGUUUCAAUCUGCACCGAGAUUAAGGACAUUGACAAUUGCGGUACAAAGCUCAAGAAUACUUUCACUGCUCAUCUAGGAAUUGACCUAACGUAACCGAGUCAUGAAUUGAAUUGGACAGGAGCAAUUGAGAUGCCAUUAACGGAGUUUACAGGAAAGAUCAGAGUCGAACAGCAAGGUGCCUCUCGCACGAUUCUUUGGAAAAGACAGUGAGACGGUCCUGUUCGGCCCCACCAAGCUUCAAGAAGAACGGCCUGUUAGCAGCACAGGUCCGAUACGUGCACGUCGGAGCUGCUAUGAGUAAAAUCCUGUCGAGGUGUCGGUGACCCACUCGGACGAAACGAUAACGGGAUUGUCGUGCGUUCAAUCAAAGUCCAGCGAAUUCAUCGGCCCUCGAGGAAGAUCGACUGGUUUUUCUUUUUCUUUCAAGUAGGUCUUUUAAAGAAUCGACUAGCAAUGUUAGUCAUUCAAGCUGUCUUGCCCGCUUCCGAGUGACAGCAGGACUACCGUAAAUGAGAAUGCAAAUUUUCCCGGCAGGUAAGAAACUGAUUUUUAACGAUGACCUCUUGUUAUUACUUUUUUUGAAAACGGUAGUGGAUUCAAAUUUGUUUAUUUAAUAAUUAACGAGGGAAACUAUAAUGUCAACUUUAUUUAUUUUUUUUUUUUUUUUCACAUGUUUGUGAAACGCCAUUCAAUGUUUGUCCUCAAUUGUAUAACUCUAAGGUAAUGUGCACAUCAUCUACUUACGUGAAGUCUGAUUUAAUCAUUUUACCGAUGUAUGUCAUCGUAGAUUUAAUCCAGAAUAUUUUUUUUUUCGAACACACAUUAGAUACACCUUUUUUUCCCUUUUUUUUUACACGAGUAUGAGAGUUGUAUUUAUUAAAAUUUAUGUUUUUUUUAAUCGUAUAAUUUGUUUCAGAGGGCAAACAAACAAAAAUUUAUGUUACAGAGGGUCGAAUGCUAUAAUCGAAAUGAUUAGAUUUUUAGUAUCGCUAUGGUACAGUUAACUAGACUUUUGCUGUAAAUAAAAUAUUAACAACAAUCAUCCUUACUAAAUAUAUAACUUUCUUCUUUUCUUUUUUUAAAAUUCCCCGUCCAUCGUCGUCGUUAUUGUACUAAAAAAUGAACACAACUGGAAUUGGAUCAACUAUAUUUACGCGUGUUUAGAAUUGUGACCAAUAGUUCAAGAUUCGGAUAGGAAAGGAAUGACGUAAGAGUGCAUUUCGUUGCACCAAUUGUACAGUUAAAUCGUGCCUUUUACUUAACAAAAGUCAAGUAGCGUCAAGUAGCUUGGUCAUUCAAUCUUUCGCUCAUUCGAAAUGCUAAUGGAUCUUUAAGGGUAAUAUUUUGUAAUUUUGUUCAUGGGAGCGCGCAUAGUUGAAUAUAGCCACUUUCAUUUAAAUGGACGGUUAGAUUCCAGAAGCCACUAUUAUGCACUUGACCAAGCGAGUAGGAAUAGUAGGUCAAGGUUUAAUGGCAGCAUUUCUAGGCAUUUCUAAGCAUCUAUGCUUAUUUCGGAUUCUUAUAAGCAUCUUCAACUAAUAUUACGUUAUCAAUUAUUAAGUUAGUGAAUGAAAUGUAGUUCUGAAUCCAUUGUAAUUUGGGAAUUCUGAUGUUUAGUUUUCACGACUGUGUAUCUGAUUGAAAUUUUUGCAAAAAGGGCGCGCUAAUAAUUCGAGAUGUCCAUUUUCUUUUUUUCUUCUUUUUUAAAUAUAUGCUUCCCCGACCCCCACCAUCUUGUUUCGUUUGGAGUUUAGUCAAGCGCGUUUGAUUUUGACAGUGAGAAUUAUGGUCACGUGCAUGUGACAAAUGAAGAAUUCUCAUUUAUUUAUUCAAUAAUUAUCCACACGUUUGAGACGCGUAGUGCGUUGACGCGAGCUAACCCGAGCUGGAAUGGGAGCAGUACAGGCGACAUAAUCUCAUCGCAUCCCGUUAUAUUGGGUUGUGUCGGUAAAAAGAGCGAAAGACGAGCGAAGAAAUCUGCGGACGUUAUCUGCGGAUGUAGCAAGCAUGUCAGACGAGGGAGAAGAGAAAGAUGAGUGAUCGAAGGAGUUAGCGAAGGUUAUCGGAUGGGAAAUGUUAAUCGAGGUUAUUCCUUUUUGGAGUGGAGUUUUUUGUGCUCAAGAUUGUGGCCAGAAGUUUAUAGGAGAGGAGAAGAAGCCUGUACAGGAGUGUAUUUUGCUGAUACAAUCGCAAGAAACUCGUCAUGGACAACAAGUGGAUGUUUGCAUCGAUCCUGAUUGUUUGGAGACAAGUGCGAUUGUUAGUGUAGCGUCAGUGAGAUACAGUGUGCGAAUUAGACUGUGGAACGUAUGAUAAACUGGUUAACAAACGAAAUGAAGACAAGUUUCUCUAUACGAUUGGUGUAACUAUAUAUGUUUCGUUGCCUAGGUGCGAGUUAAUUUUUUGCAUUCAAGGGCUUUUCUUGUUUCUCCUUUGUAGUAUGUAUCAACAACUGUAGAAUGCUUUCUUAGCUUUGUACAACGUAAAUGCAAAGUCAUAUAUUAGAUUGGAAGUUGUACGAUUGCAAUUAAUUUGCAGAGAAUUAUAUGAUUUAUAAUUGGAAUUAUAUUGAAAUAAAAUAAAACCUUGUAAACAUUAUCUACCUCGAGAUUGACUGCAUCAAGGUAAAUAGUCACAUGUCACUUUUGGAGUAACUACAUCGGGGUUAAGUUUGGACUGUCAGUCAUCUCUCGAGUGCAAAAUGUUAACAACCAGGAGGUUAUCGGAAGUUAGUUGCAGAUAUAUUUAUUUUUGUUUUAUCUGUACGAUGACACGUUGUACACCCUUUGAUAGAAGCAUGUAUUAGCACGUUGCAGUUUACAAUGUGAUAUUUAUUGGCGAAAGAUUCACUUUAAUGUAACGGAAUACGUAUCGUAACCUAACCUCUGAGUGUAUAGCGAAUGAAUUUGUCCUAUUUCUUGUCAUUUGUCCGACUGCCUAUAUAAACAAAUGAACAUGUGAUUGCGCGGCAGGUAACCUAACCCAUAACCAAUCAAAGCCUUUGUCUGAAAGGGAAUUUUGUUGCCAUUAACCCUCUGCACUGUGCGUAUAAGAAAGGCACUACAUUAAACAGUAUAUAACUAUUAAAUAUUAAACAGUAUAUAACUAUUUAAUGUUAUAGUAUAGUAUAUUUAUAUGUAGUAUAGAGUAUAUAUAUAUAAGUAAAGUUAUAGCGUAUAACUUUGUAAAUGUGUGUUUUUUGGUAGUUGCGAUGAUUAUAUAUGAUUAUUACUUCUUUUAAAGCUUACGAGGGCAUAAGUAACAUAUAUACGGAGUAACCUUAUACUUGGUAGUAAAUCCUAAAUGUAAUUCAUAUUCUCUCCUGUUAAUACAUCAAGUGGCAAGGAUUCAAUCGAUGUCUUAGUUUGGAAUAUUGUACAUAAAUGAAUAAUUAAGUAAACAGUUACUUGGUUUUAGUUGAAAUAUCAAGUAUCCAGUAAUAAUAAUGGAAUUACUCUCGAUGUUAAACAAGCAGCCUCGAUUGCGGUUGCAGACAUUGAUUUUAAUUUAAAGAUGGCAUCAUGCACACACGAAUACAAACUGAAACUGAAAUCAUGUCGAUCGAACAGGCUUAAUACUUGUUCUUUCUUCUCGUGGCACUCGAUCGACUCGAAAUCAAUAUCGUGCUGUUUAAUCAAUCAAUCAUCUUUCUUUCUCUGCAUUUAAAUUUGAUCUUUCCAGAUAGAUAAGGUACAUACGUAUAAGGUGCUCCAACAAUACAUAAUGACACUGUUAACGCAUACAACAAUAUGUAAAUAUU